UAGGGAAUCUUCGGCAAUGGGGGGAACCCUGACCGAGCAACGCCGCGUGAGUGAAGAAGGUUUUCGGAUCGUAAAGCUCUGUUGUUAAGGAAGAACGAGUGUGAGAAUGGAAAGUUCAUGCUGUGACGGUACUUAACCAGAAAGGGACGGCUAACUACGUGCCAGCAGCCGCGGUAAUACGUAGGUCCCGAGCGUUGUCCGGAUUUAUUGGGCGUAAAGCGAGCGCAGGCGGUUAGAAAAGUCUGAAGUGAAAGGCAGUGGCUCAACCAUUGUAGGCUUUGGAAACUGUUUACCUUGAGUGCAGAAGGGGAGAGUGGAAUUCCAUGUGUAGCGGUGAAAUGCGUAGAUAUAUGGAGAAACUCCGGUGGCGAAAGCGGCUCUCUGGUCUGUAACUGGCGCUGAGGCUCGAAAGCGUGGGGAGCGAACAGG
rnacentral:rRNA from 1 species